GGUGGGGUGUACCGAAUUUGGUUAAGGUGCCGCUCUCGAAAAGCGGAGGGUAGCAAUACUCAUGUGAGUUCGAGUCUCACCCCCACCG
rnacentral:tRNA from 1 species